UAGGUUUCUCCUAAGUCAAACAUUUUCCAACCUUAUAAAAAAAUGCUAAUAUCAACAAAAUCAAACAUAUACAGUAUGAAAAUAUAUUAUGAUAAUGAAGCUAAUUUGGUGCUGUAGAUGUUGGUACAUUUUUCUAUAAACUAGGUCAAACAUUAAGAAGUUUGACUUAGGACAAACCUAG
rnacentral:pre_miRNA from 1 species